ACUAGGAUAAUUCGGAUUCCAGUUUCAACCAAUAAACGAAAAGAAAACAGACUCGUAAUCAAUAUUUUCGAAUGUAGAAGUGUCGAAGUGUUAGUUUAUAUUAUUGGUUUUUAGAUCUUUCCUCCAAAAAAAAAUUCUUUUGACAAAAUAAAAGCCAUGUUUGGAAAUAACAAACCAUUUGGUACAAGCUCAGCGUUUGGGACAAGUACAUUUGGAACAACGACGACACCAUUUGGACAAAGUAA